GUGGGGAAUUUUGGACAAUGGGCGAAAGCCUGAUCCAGCCAUGCCGCGUGCAGGAUGAAGGCCUUCGGGUUGUAAACUGCUUUUGUACGGAACGAAAAGACUCCUUCUAAUAAAGGGGGUCCAUGACGGUACCGUAAGAAUAAGCACCGGCUAACUACGUGCCAGCAGCCGCGGUAAUACGUAGGGUGCAAGCGUUAAUCGGAAUUACUGGGCGUAAAGCGUGCGCAGGCGGUUAUAUAAGACAGAUGUGAAAUCCCCGGGCUCAACCUUGGAACUGCAUUUGUGACUGUAUAGCUAGAGUACGGUAGAGGGGGAUGGAAUUCCGCGUGUAGCAGUGAAAUGCGUAGAUAUGCGGAGGAACACCGAUGGCGAAGGCAAUCCCCUGGACCUGUACUGACGCUCAUGCACGAAAGCGUGGGGAGCAAACAGGAUUAGAUACCCCGGUAGUCC
rnacentral:rRNA from 1 species